UAGUAUGAUGAUCAUGAUGCAGAUGAUCUAUGUUAGUAUCUACUCUAGACUCUAGUCACGACUAGUGACACUCUCAUCUGAUCUGACUCUAGUCUAGAAUCUAGCUGCUAGAUCUAGCUACUAGCUAGAUGAACUCUAGACGAUAAGAAAAAAAUUUGAUGCCACAUUGUGUUCUAACAGGUUAAUUUUGGAGACGUUAUAUUUAUGAGACAUGGAUACAAUAACAAAAAAAUAUAUCAAUACUAAUACAGCUUUAACAUUUCAAGAAAUAUAAGAAGAUGAAAAAAGACUUUAACACAAGUCUUUAUUAACUGAGGUGGAAGGGAUAAUGGGAGUUAAUAUAAAAAAGUUAACCAGGAUAAAUAUAAUGGGCAAUGCUGAUGAGCAAAAUUGAGCAUUGGUAGCUUCUACCAUCUGAUAUAGAAACUUGACUAUUAGCCAAAUAGAACACUAAGAUACUAUCAAAGAAGAAAAUUAAAAGGUACACCACACUCAGCUCCAUAAAUAAAAGGUACACCACAUUCAGAUCCAGAAAUAAA
rnacentral:sRNA from 1 species